rnacentral:rRNA from 1 species
CAAUAAGCGGAGGAAAAGAAACUAACAAGGAUCCCCUUAGUAACGGCGAGUGAAGCGGGGUGAGCUCAAAUUUAAAAUCUGGCUGGUUUACUAGUCCGAAUUGUAGUUUAUAGAAGCGUUUUCGGUGGCAGCCUGGGUAUAAAUCCUUUGGAAUAGGGUAUCAUAGAGGGUGAGAAUCCCGUCUUUGACCUAGUGCAUGCUACUAUGUGAUACGUUUUCAAAGAGUCGAGUUGUUUGGGAAUGCAGCUCAAAAUGGGUGGUAAAUUUCAUCUAAAGCUAAAUACAGGCGAGAGACCGAUAGCGAACAAGUACCGUGAGGGAAAGAUGAAAAGAACUUUGAAAAGAGAGUUAAACAGUGCGUGAAAUUGUUGAAAGGGAAACGUUUGACACCAGUUAUGCGGAUGGCAAAUCAGUCAAUUGCUGUAGGGAGUGGUAGGGGUUCGGACCGCAAGGCCGGCCUGUGCCUCAUUUUUGCAGUAAUUGAUGCACUUUGUCAUUUGCAGGUCAACAUCAGUUUCUUCUGCUGGACAAAACUCCAAGAGAAGGUAGCAGCUUUGGCUGUGUUAUAGCUCUGGAGCGAUACAGUGGUGGGGACUGAGGAUUUCGCAGUGUGUGCUCUCGGGCAAGGCCGACUGGGUGCUAUGGGAUCGUUCAGCGUACAAUGCAUGCAUUUUGCGCUGUGUCUUUUUCAUACUCGCUCAGCUCGGCUCUUCCACACUUAGGAUGUUGACUUAAUGGUUUUAAACGACCCGUCUUGAAACACGGACCAAGGAGUCUAACAUAUAUGCGAGUGUUUGGGUGGCAAACCCAUACGCGUAAUGAAAGUGAACGUAGGUGCGAUCCGCAAGGUGCAGCAUCGACCGAUCUUGAUAUUUUUGGAUAGAUUUGAGUAAGAGCAUAUAUGCUGGGACCCGAAAGAUGGUGAACUAUGCCUGAAUAGGGUGAAGCCAGAGGAAACUCUGGUGGAGGCUCGUAGCGAUUCUGACGUGCAAAUCGAUCGUCAAAUUUGGGUAUAGGGGCGAAAGACUAAUCGAACCAUCUAGUAGCUGGUCUGCG